rnacentral:lncRNA from 1 species
AUUCGUACUCAUCCCGGUGUCGGAUUUUGAGAAUCCACAACCUACUCCGAUACCGACUGUUAUGUAUCCAGUACCGAUUGUUGGGGACUUGGGAUUUCGCAAUGCAAGCGUCAAAUGAAGUUUUUACUAUAAACCCGUCUUCUUAACAAAAACUGAUAUAAUUAUAAAAAAGAUAAAAAAGAAUAAAUAAAAUUUAUUAAAUAAGAGAAGAUUACAUCUGACUCCUUUUCUACAACUGAGUAACUACAACCUGAGUUAUUUUUUUUGAAUCUUUUCUAUUCUUCUCUUAUCUUCUAUAAAUCCACAAGAAGAUAAUUUUUUUCUCUCUCUCACAUGCAUCCGUGCACUAUAAGAUGCAUGUAACUACUCAGAGACGUACAAGACUCCUUUUCUACAACUGAGUAACUACAACCUGAGUUAUUUUUUUUGAAUCUUUUCUAUUCUUCUCUUAUCUUCUAUAAAUCCACAAGAAGAUAAUUUUUUUCUCUCUCUCACAUGCAUCCGUGCACUAUAAGAUGCAUGUAACUACUCAUAGACGUACAAG